rnacentral:rRNA from 1 species
UACGUAGGGGGCAAGCGUUGCUCGGAAUUACUGGGCGUAAAGGGAGUGCAGGCGGCCGAUUAAGUCAAAGAUGAAAUCCCGAGGCUUAACUUCGGAAUGGUCUUUGAUACUGAUCGGCUUGAGGCUGGUUGAGGAGAGCGGAAUUCCCGGUGGAGCGGUGAAAUGCGUAGAUAUCGGGAGGAACACCAGAGGCGAAGGCGGUUCUCUAAACUAGUCCUGACGCUGAGACUCGAAAGCUAGGGGAGCAAACGGG